AAUCUUGAGGCAAUCAAUCUAAUAGAAAUAUGUAAACAUUCCUAAUGUGUUUAUUGCAGCAAGAAAAAAUAUGCCGAGGUUUUUGCUUUCAAAAAGCUUUUGUUCAAGGCUUUAAAAAAGGUGGAGGGGGGGGGGAGGAGGGAAAGAUUGCUUGCAGUCAUGUUGUAAUUCCAUUUAUAGACACUGAAAUGCAUUAGUAUUCACUGGGUUCUACUAAAUUGCUUCAGUAGAGGGCUGCUGGUGAAGCAGACACUAUGUUAGCUCUGAGAUACCACAGAUUUUUGAAGUUGCCUGUGCUUAUUUAGAUGUAUAAAUGGAGAGUUUGGAGCCUGAGUGUUAGCAUAGAUUGACAAAAGGUUAAAAAUCCUUGGCCUUGGACAGGUCAAUCCAGUUAAGUUUCUGCAUAUUGAGUGAAUCUGCUGUUUGUGAAAUCAGAACUUUAUAUAUAGAAAUGUAGAACAUUCAGUGAUUUCAGCACAGUGCUGGUGCUGGUCUUUGCACUGGAGGAGCCAUGCACAUCUGUUGCCUGGGGAGCCUGGGAGACACUACACUUGCAAUUGCUGUGUUUUAAUCUCUUGCUAUGUAAAUUUCUGCCUGUGGUAUUUCCUGCAAUGCCAGAUCUGUCUUUGGACCCUUGCAUGUAGCCUGAAUUGUCUGAAUUCAUGAGCCUUUCUCAGAUCAAGGUUGCUUGAAUGCUACCUUGGGUGACUGGGUGCUAAGUAGCGUGAGUAAAGGCAGCAAAGUUAGAUUAAUAAUAGCCUGUGAAGCGCUAUCUGAAUGCCAGAUGACAGUUUGAAUCUCUUUUCAUGGACAAUCGUUUGUUUUUGUUUGUAAUUCUUUAAAGGAUUGGAGCAAGAGUUUGGAAUAUUUUUUGGAGAUAAGAACCAGAUUGUCAGAUGUACAGUAGGAUUUAAGUCUCUUAGUUCAAAAAACUUAUAACAAGUUGUCUGAUCACCUCAGACCCAGGAUUUCUGUCUCCUAAGAUAGCCAGUAAAAGCUCCAUUUUCUCCCCAGAUUAUCCAGUUACCUUUCAGAAGUGAUUUGUGUCCAUCAGGCCAGAUGGCCAUGUCUCCAUGAUGUCUGAAGGACGUGUUUUGCACAGCUAGACAAGCAUCUGAAUAACACGUUCUCUUAGCUUCCAGUGGGCAACUUUACAGGCUUACAUUGUGCUUGCUUGUUUUUCCCACAUUUUCUCUGUUUCUGGCCAACGUCUAGUUUAUUUAGCAUUACUGUUUCUUUUGCAAAAAGGUAUUGUACACGCAGCCUCUCUUUCUUCUAACUCCAGUGUUGUACUAUGCUGGGAAACAUCAGUUUAAUGGAGCAGAGCUGAUGAGGACUGGCAAAUUUUAGGUGAAAACUGAAGCAAUGCUCAGCAUCUUCUGAGUGCUGUGCUGGUUGACCACUUCACAUCCAACAGCUGAUGCUCCUACCAGCGCCCACCAGCAGGCAGAGGAACUUGUCUACAAACGGCUAUAACCUAGCAGAAAGAAAGAGCCCUAGAACCUACCAGACCCCAACACCGAGAUCACAUCAAGCGCACUCUGCCUGUCACAGUGUGUUACAUGGAAUAGAAGCCUAGGUGCUAUGUGGUAUCUGAACCACAACUGUGCCUUGUCUAUAAGAGGAUCCUCUUGCAUCCUCUAGUUAGAAGAGGAACAGCCCAUUUAUAUCUUCAUCUGAGAUGAUGUGGACAUCUACCAUCAGACAUGUAUUCAUCCAGAAAAAUUUCAAGCAGUAGUUAUUUCACAGAUUGCCAUUCUCAGAAGACGAAAUACUCUUCCAGACAACUCCCAUUACUACUUGUUUCUUCACAGGCCUCCCUCCCGCAACAGGAAGAAUUUGAUUUCCAAAAAGCCCUAGAUGUAUACUCUUCUUUCCAUCAUAAAUGAACUCCAAAAAAGAUGCUGCUGGACAAACUCUUUCUCCUCAGAUUGUUAUCAACUAUAGCCUCAAGAGACUGAGAGAGAACAUGAUGUGCCAUCUUAGUGUUGCAGCCACUGCUGUUUUGCCUGGGAUUCUUUGCCUGUGGCUGUUGAACAGUUAGCACAUCUCAACUCAGCAGGUCCUUGAAACCAUGAGGAGUACAGCUCAGGUGGAUUGCAGUGCCAGAUACAAGUUGGCAGCCAGCAAUUUAGCUUUGGAAUGGAGUGCUACUUCUGGUCUCCUUCACUGUUGGUGUUGCUGUCACAACUACUGCUGGAACAAGAGCAGAUUGAAGAGUGGAAAGGCUUAGCACAGCAGUGGAUUGCUUUGUCAUGUCUGGGCAGUCUGGUAGAGUGAUUAUGGACCAAGAGAGUGCUAGCACAGGAGAAAUGGCCACAGGAAGGGAUUACCAGCAGAAAUCAUGGACAAGACCUACAUCACAGCGGGAGACAGACCUGCCUGUCACUGUACAAGUGACCAACUGUCAUCUCCUCACAGUUUCUUAGACCUCCUCCAGCUUCCUUCUCAAGGAGCUAGAAUACUUGCUUCCGACUGUGUUCCUUCCUUCAUUUCUAUAAUAAAGUACCUGAAAUUACAGUUU